UACGAAGGGGGCUAGCGUUGUUCGGAAUUACUGGGCGUAAAGCGCACGUAGGCGGAUUGUUAAGUGGGGGGUGAAAUCCCAGGGCUCAACCCUGGAACUGCCUUUCAUACUGGCAAUCUCGAGUCCGAGAGAGGUGAGUGGAAUUCCGAGUGUAGAGGUGAAAUUCGUAGAUAUUCGGAGGAACACCAGUGGCGAAGGCGGCUCACUGGCUCGGUACUGACGCUGAGGUGCGAAAGCGUGGGGAGCAAACAGG
rnacentral:rRNA from 1 species